rnacentral:rRNA from 1 species
AUUGAACGCUGGCGGCAUGCCUUACACAUGCAAGUCGAACGGAUCAGAAGGGCUUGCUCUCUGAUUUAGCGGCGGACGGGUGAGUAAUGCCUAGGAAUCUGCCUGGUAGUGGGGGAUAACGUUCCGAAAGGAACGCUAAUACCGCAUACGUCCUACGGGAGAAAGCAGGGGACCUUCGGGCCUUGCGCUAUCGGAUGAGCCUAGGUCGGAUUAGCUAGUUGGUGAGGUAAUGGCUCACCAAGGCGACGAUCCGUAACGGGUCUGAGAGGAUGAUCAGUCACACUGGAACUGAGACACGGUCCAGACUCCUACGGGAGGCAGCAGUGGGGAAUAUUGGACAAUGGGCGAAAGCCUGAUCCAGCCAUGCCGCGUGUGUGAAGAAGGUCUUCGGAUUGUAAAGCACUUUAAGUUGGGAGGAAGGGCAUUAACCUAAUACGUUAGUGUUUUGACGUUACCAACAGAAUAAGCACCGGCUAACUUCGUGCCAGCAGCAGCCGCCG